AACAGAGAUUAAAGUGAGGAGAGAGCUUUCCUGUAGGUGGCUGGAGACAGUGGAAUGAUUUGUAGCCGGAAAGAAAUGUGCCAACGGAGCUGGCAUUUUUUAGCCAAAGAGAGCUGAUUGAUUCCCAGUGUCCAACAGGAGGCUCUGAAAGAUCCAUCCUACUCAUGGUCCCCAUCAUCUUCCUCCUGUGUCUUCUUGAAGCAGAUUCACUACAAACUAUAGCCACCAUCCCCAAAUACAGCCAAGUGUGGCUAUCCUUGUAACAGCUCAGAAUCAUUUCUACUAGGUAUGGAUUAGCUUCACUGGAAAAAAAGUUUCAACUGAGCAGA